rnacentral:rRNA from 1 species
GAUGAACGCUGGCGGCGUGCCUAAUACAUGCAAGUCGAGCGAACAGACGAGGAGCUUGCUCCUCUGACGUGAGCGGCGGACGGGUGAGUAACACGUGGAGAACCUACCUAUAAGACUGGGAUAACUUCGGGAAACCGGAGCGAAUACCGGAUAAUAUAUUGAACCGCAUGGUUCAAUAGUGAAAGACGGUCUUGCUGUCACUUAUAGAUGGAUCCGCGCCGCAUUAGCUAGUUGGUAAGGUAACGGCUUACCAAGGCGACGAUGCGUAGCCGACCUGAGAGGGUGAUCGGCCACACUGGAACUGAGACACGGUCCAGACUCCUACGGGAGGCAGCAGUAGGGAAUCUUCCGCAAUGGGCGAAAGCCUGACGGAGCAACGCCGCGUGAGUGAUGAAGGUCUUCGGAUCGUAAAACUCUGUUAUUAGGGAAGAACAAAUGUGUAAGUAACUAUGCACGUCUUGACGGUACCUAAUCAGAAAGCCACGGCUAACUCCGUG